GGAUGUGAGGGAAAUCUGGCAGUGGUAUCUGCCACUAUAUUAAUGCCAGGGUUGAGUCAGCUGAUCUGGCUGGCUAGGCUGGUGCCCCCUUCCUCCCUCAACACUCCACGUGUGUCCCUCCCGAAGCUACACCCUCAGUCAAAGCAGAUGAUCAUCCACCAGUACAGGAGGACCACGUCUGCGGUCAGGAUACACAAGCAGCUGUGAUCCGCUGCUAUAGUUAAGGAAACCAAGUGAACUUGUAGUCAUGUGAGUCCACGGAGGCAGCAAGUGGCAGAGCUUUGCCU
ensembl:misc_RNA 7SK 7SK RNA